CAACUCUCAACAACGGAUAUCUUGGCUCCCGUAACGAUGAAGAACGCAGCGAAAUGCGAUACGUAGUGUGAAUUGCAGAAUUCCGUGAACCAUCGAAUCUUUGAACGCAAAUUGCGCUUGAGGCUUCGGCUAAGAGCAUGUCUGGCUCAGCGUC
rnacentral:rRNA from 1 species